rnacentral:rRNA from 1 species
AUUGAACGCUGGCGGCAGGCUUAACACAUGCAAGUCGAGCGAGCGGCGGACGGGUGAGUAAUGUCUGGGAAACUGCCUGAUGGAGGGGGAUAACUACUGGAAACGGUAGCUAAUACCGCAUACCAUCAGAUGUGCCCAGAUGGGAUUCGCUAGUAGGGGGGGUAAUGGCUCACCUAGGCGCCGAUCCCUAGCUGGUCUGAGAGGAUGACCAGCCACACUGUACCUGAGACACGGUCGAGACUCCUACGGGAGGCAGCAGAGGGGAAUAUUGCACAAUGGGCGCAAGCCUGAUGCAGCCAUGCCGCGUGUGUGAAGAAGGCCUUCGGGUUGUAAAGCACUUGCAGCGAGGAGGCGUUACUCGCAGAAGAAGCACCGGCUAACUCCGUGCCAGCAGCCGCGGUAAUUC